rnacentral:rRNA from 1 species
GACCUGCGGAAGGAUCAUUACCGAGUGAGGGCCCUCUGGGUCCAACCUCCCACCCGUGUUUAUUUUACCUUGUUGCUUCGGCGGGCCCGCCUUAACUGGCCGCCGGGGGGCUUACGCCCCCGGGCCCGCGCCCGCCGAAGACACCCUCGAACUCUGUCUGAAGAUUGAAGUCUGAGUGAAAAUAUAAAUUAUUUAAAACUUUCAACAACGGAUCUCUUGGUUCCGGCAUCGAUGAAGAACGCAGCGAAAUGCGAUACGUAAUGUGAAUUGCAAAUUCAGUGAAUCAUCGAGUCUUUGAACGCACAUUGCGCCCCCUGGUAUUCCGGGGGGCAUGCCUGUCCGAGCGUCAUUGCUGCCCUCAAGCCCGGCUUGUGUGUUGGGCCCCGUCCCCCGAUCUCCGGGGGACGGGCCCGAAAGGCAGCGGCGGCACCGCGUCCGGUCCUCGAGCGUAUGGGGCUUUGUCACCCGCUCUGUAGGCCCGGCCGGCGCUUGCCGAUCAACCCAAAUUUUUAUCCAGGUUGACCUCGGAUCAGGUAGGGAUACCCGCUGAACUUAAGCAUAUCAAUAAGAGC